rnacentral:lncRNA from 1 species
GCACAACAUCUAUUCUGCAGCCCAUGGAUCGAGGAGUCAUUUCAACUUUCAAGUCUUAUUAUUUGUGAAACAUAUUUCAUAAAGCCACAGCUGCCAUAGACAGUGAUUACUCUGAUGCAUCUGGGAAAAGUAAAUUGGAAACCCGCUGGAAAAAAAAUGUAACAUUUGGGAUGCUAUUCAGGACAUUCAAAAUUCAUGGGAGGAGGUCAAAAUGUCAACAUUCACAGGAGUCCGGAAGAAGCUGGUUCCAACUCUCAUAGAUAAUAUUGAGGGGUUGAAGACUUCAGUGGAGAAAGUAACUGCAGACGUUGUAGAAAUAGCAAGAGAACUAAAAUUAGAAGUGGAGCAUGAGGAUGUGACUGGGUUGCUGGAAUCUCAUGAUCAAACGUUAACAGAUGAGGAAUCGCAACUUAUGGAUCAGCUAAGAAAGUGCUUUCUUGGGACAGAACCUUCUCCUGGUGAAGACGCGGUGACAUUGUUGAAAUGACAACAAAGGAUUUAAAGUAUUACAUAAAUUUAGUUGAUCAAGCGGUGGCAGGGCUUAAGAGAAUUAACUCCAAUUUUGAAAGAAGUUCUAAUAUGACAAAAAUGCUAUCAAACGGCAUCAUAUGCAACAAAGAAAUCUUUUCUGAAAGGAAGAGUCAGUUGAUGCAUCAAACGUCACUGUUGUCUUACAUUAAGAAAUUGCCACAGCAACCUUAACCUUCUGCAUUCGACACCUUGAUCGGUCAGAAGCCAUCCACAUCGAGGCAAGAUCCCCACCAGAAAAAGAUUAUGACUUUGCCGAAGGCUCUGAUUGUUGGUUGCAUUUUUAGCAAUGAAGUAUUUUUAAUUAAGUGGUCUGAAACUGAACUCACAAUAUUUCUGAGGCAUGCCUGUACUGCCCUCUCCCAAGAACGCCUACGUGACCAGCCCUCAAACUGGAUCUUCUGCCUCCAAAUUAUGUUAGCAGUUCAUGCAGCAGGCAAAACAGACUUCAAUUCUAAUAGUUACCUUCUUGCAAUCUCUAGUAGCUGCAGCAAUCUCUCACUGCAGAUGUCUAUUGUGAUUCUGGGCCCCUGGCCCUUGGUCUACAUCUCACAUACAUUCAGCCUCCUUGUACUUCCAGCCUCUUCUCCUUGUGGCUUGCUUGCUCUGUCACUUUGCUUAUGUGCACUGUGGCCAAAGCUAAGGCACCAGGGAGCAUCAAGAAAAGGCAAACAUCCGUGA